rnacentral:lncRNA from 1 species
AAGACCUGCUCACUGUGGAUGUCCUAGGCAGGGGAUUCUGGACAGUCUAAGAGUGGAGAAAGCAAGCUGAUCACUACUGUCUUAAGUUAGGGUUUACUGCUGUGAGCAGACACCAUGACAAAGGCAACUCUUACAAGGACAGCUGGCUCACAGGUUCAGAGGUUCAGUCCAUUAUCAUCAAGGCAGGAGCAUGGCAGCAUCCAGGCAGACAUGGUGCAGGAGGAGCUGAGAGGUUGGUAUUUUGUUUUCUGUAUAAUGAAGGGUUGAAUUUUUCUCAUAUUUCUUCAUCUAGUGUCUAUGAGGUAUUUACCUAGUUUCUCCAUGUAGACUUAGCAAAUUUGUUCAAACUUUGUGUACUGUAGGUUAACAAGUUUUGUUAAGUGAGGCUGGGAAUGUGGUAGUG